UACGUAGGGCGCGAGCGUUGUCCGGAAUUAUUGGGCGUAAAGAGCUCGUAGGGGGUUUGUCGCGUCUGCCGUGAAAGUCCGGGGCUCAACUCCGGAUCUGCGGUGGGUACGGGCAGACUAGAGUGAUGUAGGGGAGACUGGAAUUCCUGGUGUAGCGGUGAAAUGCGCAGAUAUCAGGAGGAACACCGAUGGCGAAGGCAGGUCUCUGGGCAUUAACUGACGCUGAGGAGCGAAAGCAUGGGGAGCGAACAGG
rnacentral:rRNA from 1 species